rnacentral:rRNA from 1 species
GACGAACGCUGGCGGCGUGCCUAAUACAUGCAAGUAGAACGCUGAAGGAGGAGCUUGCUCUUCUGGAUGAGUUGCGAACGGGUGAGUAACGCGUGGGUAACCUGCCUGGUAGCGGGGGAUAACUAUUGGAAACGAUAGCUAAUACCGCAUAACAGUAGAUGUUGCAUGACAUUUGCUUAAAAGGUGCAAUUGCAUCACUACCAGAUGGACCUGCGUUGUAUUAGCUAGUUGGUGGGGUAACGGCUCACCAAGGCGACGCUACAGAGCCGACCUGAGAGGGUGGUCGGCCACACUGGGACGGAGACCCGGCCCAGACUCCUACGGGAGGGAGCCGGAGGGAAACUUCGGCCAUGGACGGAAGUCUGACCGAGCAACGCCGCGUGAGUGAAGAAGGUUUUCGGAUCGGAAAGCUCUGUUGUAAGAGAAGAAAGAGUGUGAGGGUGGAAAGUUCACACUGUGACGGUAUCUUAACAGAAAGGGACGGCUAACUACGUG